GACGAACGCUGGCGGCGUGCCUAAUACAUGCAAGUUGAGCGCUGAAGGUUGGUACUUGUACCAACUGGAUGAGCAGCGAACGGGUGAGUAACGCGUGGGGAAUCUGCCUUUGAGCGGGGGACAACAUUUGGAAACGAAUGCUAAUACCGCAUAAAAACUUUAAACACAAGUUUUAAGUUUGAAAGAUGCAAUUGCAUCACUCAAAGAUGAUCCCGCGUUGUAUUAGCUAGUUGGUGAGGUAAAGGCUCACCAAGGCGAUGAUACAUAGCCGACCUGAGAGGGUGAUCGGACACAUUGGGACUGAGACACUGCCCAAACUCCUACGGGAGGCAGCAGUAGGGAAUCUUCGGCAAUGGACGAAAGUCUGACCGAGCAACGCCGCGUGAGUGAAGAAGGUGUUCGGAUCGUAAAACUCUGUUGGUAGAGAAGAACGUUGGUGAGAGUGGAAAGCUCAUCAAGUGACGGUAACUACCCAGAAAGGGACGGCUAACUACGUG
rnacentral:rRNA from 1 species